rnacentral:rRNA from 1 species
UACGUAGGGGGCAAGCGUUGUCCGGAUUUAUUGGGCGUAAAGAGCUCGUAGGCGGCUCGUUGCGUCGGCUGUGAAAACCCGCAGCUCAACUGUGGGCUUGCAGCCGAUACGGGCGGGCUGGGAUUCGGUAGGGGAGACUGGAAUUCCUGGUGUAGCGGUGAAAUUCGUAGAUAUUCGGAGGAACACCAGUGGCGAAGGCGACUCGCUGGAUCUUUGCUGACGCUGAGACGCGAAAGCGUGGGGAGCGAACAGG